CACGUAGGGUGCGAGCGUUGUCCGGAAUUAUUGGGCGUAAAGAGCUCGUAGGCGGUCCGUCACGUCGGAUGUGAAAUUCCAGGGCUCAACCCUGGACCUGCAUUCGAUACGGGCGGACUAGAGUUCGGUAGGGGAGACUGGAAUUCCUGGUGUAGCGGUGAAAUGCGCAGAUAUCAGGAAGAACACCCGUGGCGAAGGCGGCUCUCUGGGACGGUACUGACGCUGAGACGCGAAAGCGUGGGGAGCGAAUGGG
rnacentral:rRNA from 1 species